rnacentral:lncRNA from 10 species
GGUUUCUGGUCCUCAUACCGUGUGGUUGAGUGAAAUCAAAACUUCCACGAUAGCAAUGCUGAUUGGACAAAGAAUGUGUUGUGGACACAAAACCAAACUCUGGAGGACAGAGGAUUCAUUCCAAGGGUCUGCUUGUAUUCAAUGACUGGUCUACGUGGGGGUGUGAAGUCCCCUUACUCCACCUGUGAAGAGUCUUCCCAGUUUCAGACCACCCUCCCAGCCUCCUGUUAUUGGCUAAGGCCAUUUUGUGACUACACUGCAGGUUAGCUUUCCCCUUUGCCUAAUCG